GCAGACACAUUCCAGCCAAUCAGCAGCAGACCCUCCUUCCCAGACCCUGCCACCUCCUGGACAGCUCACUAAGAAUGCAGCUUCAAAAUGGAUGCUGUCCAGGAGUUGGGAGGGUCUGGGAGGGAGGGUUUGCUGCUGAUUGGCUGGAAUGUGUCUG
rnacentral:miRNA from 1 species